rnacentral:rRNA from 1 species
AACAAACGCUGGCGGCGUGCCUAAUACAUGCAAGUCGAACGGGGAAAGCUUUCGGGUGAGUACUAGUGGCGCACGGGUGAGUAACGCGUGGAUAAUCUGCCUUAGAGUGGGGGAUAACUAGUCGAAAGAUUAGCUAAUACCGCAUAAGACCACAAGAACUGCGGUUCAAGAGGUCAAAGGUUUUUCGCUCUAAGAUGAGUCCGCGUAAGAUUAGCUAGUUGGUGAGGUAACGGCUCACCAAGGCAACGAUCUUUAACUGGUCUGAGAGGAUGAUCAGUCACACUGGAACUGAGACACGGUCCAGACUCCUACGGGAGGCAGCAGUAGGGAAUAUUGCACAAUGGAGGAAACUCUGAUGCAGCGACGCCGCGUGAGUGAUGAUGGCCUUCGGGUCGUAAAGCUCUGUCGCAGGGGAAUAACACAAUGAAUGUGCCCUGUAAGAAAGGAUCGGCUAACUUCGUGCCAGCCGCCGCCGUAACAC